rnacentral:rRNA from 1 species
AACACAUGCAAGUCGAACGAACCCUUCGGGGUUAGUGGCGGACGGGUGAGUAACGCGUGAGGAUCAGCCCUUAGGAGGGGAACAACAGUUGGAAACGACUGCUAAUGCCCCAUAUGCCGAGAGGUGAAACAGUUAAUUCUGCCUAGGGAUGAACUCGCGUCUGAUUAGCUAGUUGGUCGGGUAAUGGCUGACCAAGGCGACGAUCAGUAGCUGGUCUAAGAGGAUGAUCAGCCACACUGGGACUGAGACACGGCCCAGACUCCUACGGGAGGCAGCAGUGGGGAAUUUUCCGCAAUGGGCGAAAGCCUGACGGAGCAAUACCGCGUGAGGGAGGAAGGCCUUAGGGUUGUAAACCUCUUUUCUCUGGGAAGAAGAUCUGACGGUACCAGAGGAAUAAGCCUCUCUAACUCCGUGCCAGCAGCCGCGGUAAGACGGAGGAGGCAAGCGUUAUCCGGAAUUAUUGGGCGUAAAGCGUCCGUAGGCGGUUAAUUAAGUCUGUUGUUAAAGCCCACAGCUCAACUGUGGAUCGGCAAUGGAAACUGGUUGACUAGAGUGUGGUAGGGGUAGAGGGAAUUCCCGGUGUAGCGGUGAAAUGCGUAGAUAUCGGGAAGAACACCAGUGGCGAAGGCGCUCUACUGGGCCACAACUGACGCUGAUGGACGAAAGCUAGUGGAGCGAAAGGGAUUAGAUACCCCUGUAGUCCUAGCUGUAAACGAUGGAUACUAGGUGUUGGACGUAUCGACCCGUGCAGUACCGUAGCUAACGCGUUAAGUAUCCCGCCUGGGGAGUACGCACGCAAGUGUGAAACUCAAAGGAAUUGACGGGGGCCCGCACAAGCGGUGGAGGAUGUGGUUUAAUUCGAUGCAACGCGAAGAACCUUACCAAGGCUUGACAUCCUGCGAAUCUUUCAGAGAUGAGAGAGUGCCUUCGGGAGCGCAGAGACAGGUGGUGCAUGGCUGUCGUCAGCUCGUGUCGUGAGAUGUUGGGUUAAGUCCCGCAACGAGCGCAACCCUCGUCCUUAGUUGCCAUCAUUAAGUUGGGCACUCUGGGGAGACUGCCGGGGACAACUCGGAGGAAGGUGGGGACGACGUCAAGUCAUCAUGCCCCUUACGUCUUGGGCUACACACGUCCUACAAUGCUACAGACAGAGGGCAGCAAGCGCGCGAGUGCAAGCAAAUCCCAUAAACUGUGGCUCAGUUCAGAUUGCAGGCUGCAACUCGCCUGCAUGAAGGCGGAAUCGCUAGUAAUCGCAGGUCAGCAUACUGCGGUGAAUACGUUCCCGGGCCUUGUACACACCGCCCGUCACACCAUGGGAGUUGGCCACGCCCGAAGUCGUUACUCUAACCGUUCGCGGAGGAGGGCACCGAAGGCAGGGCUGAUGACUGGGGUGAAGUCGUAACAAGGUA